CUGUGCCUAAAAGCAUAUCAUCAAUUCUUUACUAGCUCACAGAAAAUAUAGACCAGUUGUCCUUUAAUAACUAACUCGAACAAAUCGGAUUACGAACAAAAUGUUCAGAAAAAUAAUUGCUUCGGAACACAAACUAGGGUUCCGUUUUUUUCAAAAUCAAGGUAUCCACAUGGAGUCUCUUACACGCGGUGUACGUUGUUAUUUCCGUGUUUAACGUUUUUCACAUUCGUGUUUUUGCUCCAACUUAGCCCUCAGUAUGGCUUGACAACUUGGUUCUUAAAUGUAAUUCAGUUCAUUUUAAGGGGAAAAAAAAUACUUCAUUAUUUUUCACAAACAGAGUCUCGGAAUAAAUUGAUUAAUGAACCGAGGUUUCACAGUUCAUGACUUUCCGUCCGAUUGCUCAAACUUUACAUUUUAAUAAUUUUGUAAAUAGAUAUGUCUUGGUCUUCAGUCAUGAGUUUAACCCUUUUAUGGGGAGCGGUUACUACAGUGGACAGCUUAUCAUGUUAUCAGGUCACAGGGUGCAUGAAAGGAUUACAUCAUCCAUCCAUUCUCUUCCGCUUAUCUGGGGAUGGGUUGCGGGGGCAGCAGCGUUAGUAGGAAAAUCCAGAAUUCCCUUUCCCCGCCGACAAUGUCCAUCUCUUUCCGGGAGGAUCCUAGUCUAGCUGAGAGACACCUCUCCGGCGUAUCCCGGGCGCUUCUUUCCAAGGACCUUCCGUCCUCCCAGCGAAACAUGCCCGAACAAUUCACCAGGGAGGUGUCCAGAAAGCAUCCUAACAAGUUUCCCUAGCCACCUCAUCUGGCUCCUCUCGAUGCAGAAGAGCAACAACUCAACGUUGAGUCCCUCUUGGAUGACUGAGCUUCUCAUACUAGCUUCAAAAGAGAGGAAUCUCAUUUCGGACGUUUGUAUCUAACAACUUUGUUGUUCGGGCACGACUCACCACCGACCGCUCGUGAUCACAGGUGAAGGUAGGAGCAUGUUAACCAAAGUGCUCUAUAAAUACAGUUGAGUUGAGUUGACAGUUGAGUAAAUCGAGAGCUUUUGGCUCAGCUCCUUUGUCAAAACGACAGAGCAACGCAAACUUUAUAUCGCUGCAGACACUGAACCAAUCAACCUGUCGAUCUCGCCUCCUCCCUUUCUUUCCUUACUCGUUAAGAAGACCCCAAGAAAUGUGAACCCCUCCACUUUAGGAAUGAUGAAGUGUUUGCUGUAAAUCAGUUGAAGUAAAAUCACACACAGUCAUUGUUCACUGGAGCCAUAUCCUGGACUCCACUGUAUCCGAUAUUGCGCAAAGAAGAGGAGGAAGAGGUGAGAAGAGAAGCGAGAAUGUUGAGACGAAUGAAAAUGUGAAAUUACAUCUGUUUGUUGCUUUGUGUAACUCUUGGGUGAGAAGAGAACAAACUUGUGUGGGCGUGCGCAGGUGGAUGCGUUCGUGUUGCCAAAAGCCAUUUAGAUUAGUUGUAUAAUGUGCAUUGGAUGCGAGAAUGUGGGCCAGUGUUUCUUUGUCGAAUGAAGUCUUCAACGAGUCAUUCAGUCAGCCAUAAAUGUUUUCUUUUGUCUCAGAGUGACGGCAUAGCAUCUAUUUGCAUGAGGAUCGAUAGAUAGAUAAAUGAAUAUCAAGGUAGUUAUUGAUUUACUACAAUAAAAUGUUAUUGAUUUACUUUGUAAAUCAAUAACAUUUUGAAUUAAAGUUGAAUUCCUCAUCCAGCUUCAUUGUAGGUUUGCAAAAGCUGAUGUAGAGCUGAAAGAUGGAGAGUUAGGUUAAAUUUAGCUUCAUGUCUGAGCGGUGGGGAGGAGGGCUGUAGAGUGGUCUGCUCUGUCUAGCCAUAGCAACAGCUGUGACACACUUUGCACUGAUUGACGUUUACAGAUUUCUGGCUAAGUUGCCAGCGAAAGGAAUGCAUACAUUCUAAUGCAGGUUUCCAGCUGGGGCACAGCUGGAACCAAAUAAAGCUCACAGCAUGAUAGUGUUUGUCAAAACUAACUGUCUUGUUUGGCAUGUCUCCCUUGUGAGAUACCUCUACCACCAUAAAAUGACUCUUGACAAAAAUGAAAAUGAAUAUGUAUGCUGCUUUGUAACCACUAUGAGUCUUGAAUGCUCAAAGACCGGCACUUUCAUUCAUUUUCCAGAUUUACAGAGUGUGUAUUUGCACAGUUUGAUUGAAUUAGGAAUGCACAGAAAUGGAUUUUCAAGACCUGGAGCUAUAUACUGAAUGUAUUGAUUGUAUUUGGUUUUUCUUUGUGGACCAAAUCAUACAAUUUGACUGUGUGACAGAUCUGGAGAAUGCUUGUGAAUGCAGUUGACAUCAGGUUUCAUUUUGGCAAACUAAUGUCAACGUAAUGACUUUAAGCUAUAUGUUUUCUACCCUCUCAAAAUGUAUCGGAGUUCAUGGCGGGGUGCUGUCAGAGUGAGUGGAAAUUCUGGUAAAGAGACUCGAAGAUCAAAGCAUGUAAAAAAUGCUUUUUAAAGGACUGCAAGCAGACCCCCACUAUUGGGUGAUGUCAACUUACCGUGGGUGUUCACAGAUCGCUGUUGUGAAGGGGUCACUUGGAGGACCACCUUCCACCUCGAUAGAUUGUGUCGUAAUAGCCGUGCCGCAACCCGGGGUGAUCUGGCGUCCACACGCCAUGUGGGACCUGGCGUCCACAUGUGUGGACAUGACGUCUUUGGUUUUCAAGACUGUUAAAUUUUGGACUAUAAGGGCCUGGCGUCCACUUACGAGGACGUUUCAUCAAGUAAAAAGAUCAUUCUUUGUUUUUACACUCAUCAGGUCCCAAUUAGCCUAAAUAUCAAAGAGAAAAGAAAAAUAAAAUAGAAAUGCAUGCCUUGCAAGACUUCGGGUCUUAUUUAAUAUAGGUGAUGAUGAUAAUGAUUAUGCAUUCAUUUAACUUAUUACAACAAUGAUUCAGAUGGUUUGAUGUGCACUGUCAUAUUUAUUAAUGAAAUACGAUGACAUCGACAACACAUAUCAGCAGAGUGUAGAAUCCGUCUGCCUGCGCCUAGAUCAGUGGUUCUUAACCUGGGUUCGAUCAAACCCCAGGGGUUCGGUGAGUCGGUCUCAGGGGUUCGACGGAGACUCUGCCAUGGAGGUUAAGACACACCUGACUCAACAUGUCAUUUAAUUACGACACGCCUGCUUGGCCAUCGCUGGCUGCACAUGAUCACAUUACGUUGCUUAUCCAAUCAGUGCUGCGGGAAAUUUAGUUUGCUCAAUCGUCAACGUGUGAGUGUCGUGACUUUUUUUGUUUUGUUUUUUUAAAUGUUUUAACACAUGC